UACUCCUUCAUGCGGUCAGGCUUGGUUAUGUCGUGUUUGGAGUGCCUCAGAAGACGAGAUGUGGAGGAGUGUUUCCCUGGGACCAGAAUGGUGUCGAUCACUAGAGCAGAUGGUCUAAUAUCAUGGAGCCCUUGCCUGUGCCACACGCUGGAUCCCUGAAGACAGAGUAGUGAAGAAAUUGGAGAAAUUGACCAUAAAUUUUCCUUUGGAGAAACUGACCAUAAUUGUCCUGGAAAACAACCCACUAAGACGAGUCAAGGAGCAGUGAGGACAGGAUUCUUCAACACUGGAUGUGUCACGUCACCUAGGAUUUUCACAGAAAGCCUUCUUUGACGAACAAUUUUCCUCACUCUGGAAUUUACUAAGAGACAACCAAAACUGUGCUGAAAUUGCAUGUGCUCUCACUUAGGGAGACAUAUGUAGAUCAGGUCACAAGACAAAGGCAAAGUGGAGAGGACUGUAAAGCAGGAAGUGAAAUGACAAUGUUCCAGAGGAGAAAUUAGGAGAAUGAAAACAUCAGUCAAAAGUGGGAA